rnacentral:rRNA from 1 species
AUACGUAAGGUGGCAAGCGUUGUCCGGAUUUAUUGGGCGUAAAGCGAGUGCAGGCGGUCUUUUAAGUCUGAUGUGAAAGCCUUCGGCUCAACCGAAGAAGUGCAUCGGAAACUGGGAAACUUGAGUGCAGAAGAGGACAGUGGAACUCCAUGUGUAGCGGUGAAAUGCGUAGAUAUAUGGAAGAACACCAGUGGCGAAGGCGGCUGUCUAGUCUGUAACUGACGCUGAGGCUCGAAAGCAUGGGUAGC